GACGAACGCUGGCGGCGUGCUUAACACAUGCAAGUCGAACGGAAAGGCCCUGCUUUUGUGGGGUGCUCGAGUGGCGAACGGGUGAGUAACACGUGAGUAACCUGCCCUUGACUUUGGGAUAACUUCAGGAAACUGGGGCUCAUACCGGAUAGGAGCUCCUGCUGCAUGGUGGGGGUUGGAAAGUUUCGGCGGUUGGGGAUGGACUCGCGGCUUAUCAGCUUGUUGGUGGGGUAGUGGCUUACCAAGGCUUUGACGGGUAGCCGGCCUGAGAGGGUGACCGGGCACAUUGGGACUGAGAUACGGCCCAGACGCCUACGGGAGGCAGCAGUGGGGAAUAUUGCGCAAUGGGCGGAAGCCUGAUGCAGCAACGCCGCGUGCGGGAUGACGGCCUUCGGGUGGUAAACCGCUUUCGCCUGUGACGAAGCGUGAGUGACGGUAAUGGGUAAGGAAGCACCGGCUAACUACGUG
rnacentral:rRNA from 1 species